rnacentral:tRNA from 4 species
GGAGUGGUACCCAAGCGGUCAACGGGAGCAGACUGUAAAUCUGCCGGCUCAGCCUUCGCAGGUUCGAAUCCUGCCCGCUCCACCA